rnacentral:rRNA from 1 species
GUGGGGAAUCUUCCGCAAUGGACGAAAGUCUGACGGAGCGACGCCGCGUGAGUGAAGAAGGCCUUCGGGUCGUAAAGCUCUGUCAUCAGGGACGAACGGCCGGUGGAGUGGAAAGCCACCGGAUUGACGGUACCUGAGAAGGAAGCCACGGCUAACUACGUGCCAGCAGCCGCGGUAAUACGUAGGUGGCAAGCGUUGUCCGGAAUUAUUGGGCGUAAAGCGCGCGCAGGUGGGAUCUUAAGUCCAUUUUUAAAGUUCGGAGCUCAACUCCGUGAUGGGAUGGAAACUGGGAUUCUUGAGUACCGGAGAGGAAAGCGGAAUUCCCCGUGUAGCGGUGAAAUGCGUAGAUAUGGGGAGGAACACCAGUGGCGAAGGCGGCUUUCUGGACGGUGUCUGACGCUGAGGCGCGAAAGCUAGGGGAGCGAACGGGAUUAGAUACCCGAGUAGUCC